rnacentral:rRNA from 1 species
GUUGUAUGGUUAAGUGACUAAGCGUACACGGUGGAUGCCUUGGCAGUCAGAGGCGAUGAAAGACGUAGUAACUUGCGAUAAGCCCAGAUUAGGUAGUAACAACCAUUUGAGUCUGGGAUUUCUGAAUGGGGAAACCCACGUGCAUAAGCACGUAUCCUUACCUGAAUACAUAGGGUAAGGAGGCGAACCGGGGGAACUGAAACAUCUAAGUACCCCGAGGAAAAGAAAUCAACCGAGAUUCCGAAAGUAGCGGCGAGCGAAAUUGGACUAGCCCUUAAGCUUUACACGCGUUAGACGAACGGUCUGGAAAGUCCGACGAUACAGGGUGAUAGUCCCGUAGUUGACGACGUGUGUUCAGUGAAAUCGAGUAGGGCGGGACACGUGAUAUCCUGUCUGAAUAUGGGGGGACCAUCCUCCAAGGCUAAAUACUACUGACUGACCGAUAGUGAACCAGUACCGUGAGGGAAAGGCGAAAAGAACCCCUGUGAGGGGAGUGAAAUAGAACCUGAAACCGUGUACGUACAAGCAGUAGGAGCAGGCUUUGUCCUGUGACUGCGUACCUUUUGUAUAAUGGGUCAGCGACUUAUAUUCAGUGGCAAGGUUAACCAUCUAGGGGAGCCGUAGGGAAACCGAGUCUUAACUGGGCGUUCAGUCUCUGGAUAUAGACCCGAAACCAGGUGAUCUAGCCAUGGGCAGGUUGAAGGUUGAGUAACAUCAACUGGAGGACCGAACCGACUAAUGUUGAAAAAUUAGCGGAUGACUUGUGGCUAGGGGUGAAAGGCCAAUCAAACCUGGAGAUAGCUGGUUCUCCCCGAAAGCUAUUUAGGUAGCGCCUCGGACGAAUACUACUGGGGGUAGAGCACUGUUAAGGCUAGGGGGUCAUCCCGACUUACCAACCCUUUGCAAACUCCGAAUACCAGUAAGUACUAUCCGGGAGACACACGGCGGGUGCUAACGUCCGUCGUGGAGAGGGAAACAACCCAGACCGCCAGCUAAGGUCCCAAAUUACUACUAAGUGGGAAACGAUGUGGGAAGGCUCAGACAGCCAGGAUGUUGGCUUAGAAGCAGCCAUCAUUUAAAGAAAGCGUAAUAGCUCACUGGUCGAGUCGGCCUGCGCGGAAGAUGUAACGGGGCUAAGUAGUAAACCGAAGCUGCGGCAAUGUGCUUUUGCACAUUGGGUAGGGGAGCGUUCUGUAAGCGGUUGAAGGUGUGUGGUAACGCAUGCUGGACGUAUCAGAAGUGCGAAUGCUGACAUGAGUAACGAUAAAGGGGGUGAAAAACCUCCUCGCCGGAAGACCAAGGGUUCCUGUCCAACGUUAAUCGGGGCAGGGUAAGUCGACCCCUAAGGCGAGGCCGAAAGGCGUAGUCGAUGGGAAACGGGUUAAUAUUCCCGUACUUCUUACAAUUGCGAUGGGGGGACGGAGAAGGCUAGGUGGGCCUGGCGACGGUUGUCCAGGUUCAAGUGCGUAGGCUUAAGAGUUAGGUAAAUCCGGCUCUUUUUAAGGCUGAGACACGACGUCGAGCACCUACGGGUGUGAAGUCAUUGAUGCCAUGCUUCCAGGAAAAGCCUCUAAGCUUCAGAUUGUAAGGAAUCGUACCCCAAACCGACACAGGUGGUCGGGUAGAGAAUACCAAGGCGCUUGAGAGAACUCGGGUGAAGGAACUAGGCAAAAUGGUACCGUAACUUCGGGAGAAGGUACGCUCUUGAUGGUGAAGUCCCUUGCGGAUGGAGCUGACGAGAGUCGCAGAUACCAGGUGGCUGCAACUGUUUAUUAAAAACACAGCACUGUGCAAAAUCGUAAGAUGACGUAUACGGUGUGACGCCUGCCCGGUGCCGGAAGGUUAAUUGAUGGGGUUAGACUUCGGUCGAAGCUCUUGAUCGAAGCCCCGGUAAACGGCGGCCGUAACUAUAACGGUCCUAAGGUAGCGAAAUUCCUUGUCGGGUAAGUUCCGACCUGCACGAAUGGCGUAAUGAUGGCCACGCUGUCUCCACCCGAGACUCAGUGAAAUUGAAAUCGCUGUGAAGAUGCAGUGUACCCGCGGCUAGACGGAAAGACCCCGUGAACCUUUACUACAGCUUGGCACUGAACAUUGACCCUACAUGUGUAGGAUAGGUGGGAGGCUUUGAAGCACGUACGCCAGUAUGUGUGGAGCCGUCCUUGAAAUACCACCCUUGUAGUGUUGAUGUUCUAACGUUGACCCCUAAUCGGGGUUGCGGACAGUGCCUGGUGGGUAGUUUGACUGGGGCGGUCUCCUCCCAAAGAGUAACGGAGGAGCACGAAGGUGGGCUAAUCACGGUUGGACAUCGUGAGGUUAGUGCAAUGGCAUAAGCCCGCUUGACUGCGAGAAUGACAAUUCGAGCAGGUGCGAAAGCAGGUCAUAGUGAUCCGGUGGUUCUGAAUGGAAGGGCCAUCGCUCAACGGAUAAAAGGUACUCCGGGGAUAACAGGCUGAUACCGCCCAAGAGUUCAUAUCGACGGCGGUGUUUGGCACCUCGAUGUCGGCUCAUCACAUCCUGGGGCUGAAGUCGGUCCCAAGGGUAUGGCUGUUCGCCAUUUAAAGUGGUACGCGAGCUGGGUUUAGAACGUCGUGAGACAGUUCGGUCCCUAUCUGCCGUGGGCGUUGGAAGAUUGAAGGGGGCUGCUCCUAGUACGAGAGGACCGGAGUGGACGAACCUCUGGUGUUCGGGUUGUGUCGCCAGACGCAUUGCCCGGUAGCUAAGUUCGGAAUCGAUAACCGCUGAAAGCAUCUAAGCGGGAAGCGAGCCCUGAGAUGAGUCUUCCCUGAUACUUUAAGUAUCCUAAAGGGUUGUCGGAGACUACGACGUUGAUAGGUCAGGUGUGUAAGUGCUGUGAGGCAUUGAGCUAACUGAUACUAAUUGCCCGUGAGGCUUAACCAUACAACACCCAAGGGGUUU